GGAUGCCCUGAGCACAGGCUGAAGCAGUUUUGAAGGUGCCUGAGAAAGCCCAUGGCGGACUUGCAGAGAGACACUGGUGGUUGCCCAAGCUCUGCAGAAAGCUCGUUUGAUGAGACUGCUUCCGUGAGAUUACACUGUCACCUUUGGCUCCAGGAGACCUUGUACCCAGUGUGGGAGAGGAAGGAGCAGCAAGAGAAACUCUGGUAUUCUCCUGCCAUGGAUGUGAACUGACCCCAUGGAGUGAUGCCUAGAAGUGUCCAGUCAUUGUCAUCAAACCUGAAAUCAUCUUGGACUCCAGGAAAAGCGGAGCCUAGCAGACUCCCCCACGAUGGCAUCAGAGGCGGCUCCUGUCCCCCUCCAAGUAAGAACAAUCAUCUCCUGGGAACCGAAUUGCCCCUCAAGCUGUAAGGACUCCUCCAGAGCUAUGAAACCAGGACUGAGAUAAUGAGCAACCAGAUCCCAGCCUACCCUACCGUAGCACCUCAGAAGCUAGGCCUGUUGUUUUCCUAACAGGACAGUCUGAUCUUCAUUGUCAGAUCAGUUUCUGAAGCUGAAGUCCCUUCCCAAUACUUUUACUUUUGUUUGUUUAGGGGGUGGGCUUGAUCAUUGUCACAGCUGUGUCUCUCUUUUCUCCUACUUUCUGUUUUCUCUUGCUUUCCAUUUAAAGUUUUAUCCUGUAAAUUUGUGCCGAAUGCCUCAGUUUUAAUUUCCAUUGUCACUGAAGCUAGUGAUAAAAUGAUAUUGUAAAGAAAACCGGUGUAUUAAUCAACUGCAGGCUACCAUAACAAAAUGCUAAAGACUGGGUGACUUAAACAACAGAAAUGUAUUUCUCACAGUUAUGGACCCUAGGAAAUCCAAGAGCAAGGCUUCAGCAGAUUUGGUUUCUGAUGAGGUCUCCCUUCCUUGUUUACAGACUGUCACCUGUUCCUGCGUCAUCACAUGGGGCAGGGUAGAGGGAGAGGAGUCUUGCUCUCCCUAUAAAGCUGUAGCCCUAUCUGAUUAGGGCCCCAUACUAUGCCCACA